ensembl:lncRNA
GACACUAUUGGGGGUUGAACAUCCAGGAAGCCAACCCAAUAUCCAGCUAAGAGGGAAUCCUCUCAGGUAAGCAAGGCCUCUUUAGAAAUGUAAUCAAGGCAUUUACAUAAGUUGUGUCUUUUGCCUCUGGGACUGACACAUAUUAUAAACCCCAUAAUCCCAUCCUGGACUAAUUCAGGCCAUUUCCCAAGUCUUGCCCUUUUUCUACUGAGAGAAUCUUCCAAAUGGCUCCAGUUUUAAAUGGACAUAUAGCAGUUUCCAUUUUCCCGGCAUAAGGGAGAUUCCAUUGACCUCUGACAUUUAUUUAUUUACAACAUUUCUACCCUUCCCUUCUCACCCAAGGUGACUCAGGGCGGCUUACAACAACCGGCAAAAUUCAAUGCCAAACAGAUCAAUAAAACAGCAACAUCAAAGGGAGUCCCCAGCCAAUGACAGCUCAGAUCCUAGCUUGACCAUUCCUGAGCCAAUCAAGAGAAGGAGCAGGUCUUCUGAAUAGGAUAAAAUGCCUUGCACUCUAUUGUAUGUUAUGCCAGUUCUUUUGGCAGUUACGUUGUUCUGACAUCCAUCUGGCCAGAUGAAUAAAACUUCUGCUUCCGCCUUCAAACUUGGUUCCGUUUUUCCUUGCUUUCAGUGUAGCAUGGUGUGCCAGGUAACGGACCUACAUUGCCUCCUUGUGGCAGAGAGCUGAUUUUUGUAUCACUUGAGAAGAAGAUGGGCAGGAUUGACUGCCUUGUGAUCUUUUUCCUCCAGGUUCUCCUCGCCCAGAAAUUUUCUCGCCCAGAAACACUUCUCGCCCAGAAACGCUUCCUCCAGCUGACACCACCAGUACUUCUUAGGAGAGGGUCCUUGAAGAUAUUGAUGGAUCACGCUUGAAGAAUGGAACACAGGAAAAUAAAACCGACCACCGUCGAGUCAUGAAAAGGGACGGAAAGGUCAGAUUAUUGAAACCAUAUUGAUCUCGUCCAGGUUCCAGUUGGUACCAUUUGAGAAAUACUCCUCCAAAGUUUCAUCCGCUGCACUGAUGGACCACGCAAUGACAAGGCCUUGGCCACAAAUAAAACGGAAGAGACACCCCAAGGUUGCUCAUGUGGAUUCUGUUUUUCUUUUAGCUUAAUUCCCAAGCACAGAGAGGAAAUCUUUCUGAGUCAUUAUAACUGUAUCCUCAAUUUGCAUCUGAUACGAUAAAUAAAUAAACAGAGGCUGGACAGCCAUCUGUCAGAAGGGUUUGGAUUGGGUCUUGGUAUUCUGGUAGAAGGAUGUUGGACUGGAUAACUCUUGUGGUCCCUUACAACUAGGAUGUUAGAUAGAAAUGGCAGUCAUCUUCGCACUUAGAAAUAUAAAUCUUGUUGUGUUUCAAAUACUACUACUACUACUACUACUACUACUACUACUACUAAUAAUAAUAAUACAUCACACAGUCCUAGACACUUGGGAAGUGUUCGACUUGUGAUGUUGUGAUACGAAAUCCAGCAUAUCUAUCUUGUUUGCUGUGUCAUAAUAUAAUAAUAAUAAUAAUAAUAAUAAUAAUAAUAAUAAUAAUAACAACAACAACAACACAUCACACAGUCCUAGACACUUGGGAAGGGUCUGACUC